GAUUUGAAGUGGAGUUUGGUGAAAAUUACUUCUCCCCUGCUGCUUGUUUCACAGUUAUGAAAGUGAAGUUUUUUUAGUUCUGCUAUUUGUUUGGCAGAAAAUGAAUGAUGUAACACUAUAAUUUAUGUAUAAGUAAUAAAAAACUUAAUAAAUAAUACAUUAUAAGACAUUAAAUAAAAAUAAUAUAAUUAUAUUUCUAUAUAGUUAAAAAAAUUAAUCUAAAACAACUAAAUUAUUAUUUUAUAUAUAUAAAUUAUAAUAAUACAAUAAUAAAAUUAUAAAGUAGAAAAUUAUAUAAAAAUUC
rnacentral:lncRNA from 1 species